CACAGAUCUUUAAAUGUAGAGAGCUCAAAUGAAUUGCAAAAACAGUACUCAUAUUAUAAACUCUUUAAACAAAUUACCCCUAAUAUGUUUAAUCAGGUUUAAUUGACUUAACAACACGUGAAUCAACACUGGCCGGUUUCUAAACACUCAAGAAUAGAAUCGUAAUGAUCUCUCUCUCACGCAAAUUUUUCUUUCUUCAAAAGCUCAACUCGCUUGAACACUCAUCCCAUUCGGUGAUCUGAUCUUCUUGUUAGAGAUAAUCUCAAAUCUUCAACUCUAAUCCUAGAAUCCCUCGAUUCAAUGUUUAUCCUCAAAAGUGAGAAGUCUUCAUUUGCCACGUCAUCUCCUAGGUUUGAAUGACUCCCGC
rnacentral:lncRNA from 1 species